rnacentral:lncRNA from 1 species
GUUAUUCCCAGACAUGUUUAUAACCGUGCUGUACGGUGAGAACGAGCAGGCUCUUUUUAACAUUAACUGUAAGGUCCAGGUUCUCCUGGAGAGUAUCAAGCGCUGCUGUGGCCGUGAGAGUGAAGAGGAAAUUGAGGUGGCAGAUGAGAGCGGCCAGGUGAAGAAUUUGCUCCAGAACCAGCAUUGCUAUGCCUCGGAGCUGCUGAAUGAGAGAGAACUGUGUGUGCUCCUCAGUGUUGCACCAAAGCUGGGGAAUUGGGAAGACUCCAAGGUACCGUCUGCCCGAGCAAGAUCCAGAAAGGCCAGCAGAAAACCCACCUUGCACUUAAGAGAUCCCAGCUGCUGAUAGUAAAAGGACUCAGUCACCCCAGGGCAACAGGAAUAAAAUGGUUUCCCCUUCUAAACA